rnacentral:rRNA from 1 species
UACCAGCACCCCGAGUGGUCGGGACGCUUAUUGGGCCUAAAGCAUCCGUAGCCGGUUCUACAAGUCUUCCGUUAAAUCCACCUGCUUAACAGAUGGGCUGCGGAAGAUACUAUGGAGCUAGGAGGCGGGAGAGGCAAGCGGUACUCGAUGGGUAGGGGUAAAAUCCGUUGAUCCAUUGAAGACCACCAGUGGCGAAGGCGGCUUGCCAGAACGCGCUCGACGGUGAGGGAUGAAAGCUGGGGGAGCAAACCGG